GUAAGACAACAUGCAUAAAAAGGACGAUGUGGUCAAAAUACUCAUUUGCCUAAUAAUUCUGCACUCUCUAUAUAGGCAUACAAUGGGUUAAUCCAUUGCACAAUACUAUUUCCUUUUCACAGCAUUGAAACAGUGAGUUUCACUGUGGACUAUAAUGACUCCUCAGCUGCUUAGUGAUAUUAUUGAUCUGUGGAACAUUGUUACUUUUUCUGAUCCAGAAAAACUGAACACAGAAAAGCAACGCAGUGAGGCGGCGCUCUGCUCCAUUGUUUUAAAGGGGAACCCGUUUCUAAUGAGUGAAGCUAAACUAACUUCUGUCUGGAAACACUCCGUCUGAAUAAGCAGGACAUUCUUGAGAUGUUUGUGUCUCCAAAACACUCGGGGAGUUUAAAGAGGAUGUUCUAAAGGUCUAAAAUGAAGAAGACAUUUCAAGCAUUCAAAUCAAGAUAACAUGCAGCUUCAAAACAGAUAGCCCACCGGUAGUCCCCAAAAAACGGAAUUCAUCAUUCAGAAGAGACCCUGCGUCUGUGGGGAUGGGGAGCUAUCUAAACCACUCUGAAAUAGACAUGGGGAGAAGCAAGAGGUGCUUCGAGUAAAACCAGAUAGCUAUAUUCUCUUCCAGACAUAUCCCACCAUGAUCUCAUCAUCAGUCCUGAAACUACACAAUAAACACAGAAGCAGCA